UGGUUAUUGAUGUUAAGUGCUUGCAUUUAAUUGAUUUCCCAUUGAGACGAGUGGCGAACUGGUGAGUAACACGUGGGUAACCUGCCCUUGAAGUAGGGGAUAACACUUGGAAACAGGUGCUAAUACCGUAUAACAACCAAAACCACCUGGUUUUGGUUUAAAAGAUGGCUUCGGCUAUCACUUUAGGAUGGACCCGCGGCGUAUUAGCUUGUUGGUAAGGUAACGGCCUACCAAGGCAAUGAUACGUAGCCGACCUGAGAGGGUAAUCGGCCACAUUGGGACUGAGACACGGCCCAAACUCCUACGGGAGGCAGCAGUAGGGAAUCUUCCACAAUGGACGAAAGUCUGAUGGAGCAACGCCGCGUGAGUGAUGAAGGGUUUCGGCUCGUAAAACCCUGUUGUUGGAGAAGAACAGGUGUGAGAGUAACUGUUCACAUCUUGACGGUAUCCAACCAGAAAGCCACGGCUAACUACGUGCCAGCAGCCGCGGUAAUACGUAGGUGGCAAGCGUUGUCCGGAUUUAUUGGGCGUAAAGCGAGCGCAGGCGGUUUCUUAGGUCUGAUGUGAAAGCCUUCGGCUUAACCGGAGAAGUGCAUCGGAAACCAGGAGACUUGAGUGCAGAAGAGGACAGUGGAACUCCAUGUGUAGCGGUGAAAUGCGUAGAUAUAUGGAAGAACACCAGUGGCGAAGGCGGCUGUCUGGUCUGUAACUGACGCUGAGGCUCGAAAGCAUGGGUAGCGAACAGGAUUAGAUACCCUGGUAGUCCAUGCCGUAAACGAUGAGUGCUAAGUGUUGGAGGGUUUUCCGCCCU
rnacentral:rRNA from 1 species